AAUUGGAGGGCAAGUCUGGUGCCAGCAGCCGCGGUAAUUCCAGCUCCAAUAGCGUAUAUUAAAGUUGUUGCAGUUAAAAAGCUCGUAGUUGAAUUUCGGGGUCAGCAGGUCGGUCGUGCCUACGGUAUGCACUGGCCUUGCUGAUUCCUCCCUCUUGAUGAGCCGUAAUGUCAUUAAUUUGGUGUUGCGGGGAAUCAGGACUGUUACUUUGAAAAAAUUAGAGUGUUUAAAGCAGGCAUGCGCUUGAAUACAUUAGCAUGGAAUAAUGAAAUAGGACGUUUGAUCCUAUUUUGUUGGUUUCUAGGAUUGACGUAAUGAUUAAUAGGGAUAGUUGGGGGCAUUAGUAUUCAAUUGUCAGAGGUGAAAUUCUUGGAUUUAUUGAAGACUAACUACUGCGAAAGCAUUUGCCAAGGAUGUUUUCAUUAAUCAAGAACGAAAGUUAGGGGAUCGAAGACGAUCAGAUACCGUCGUAGUCUUAACCAUAAACUAUGCCGACUAGGGAUCGGAUGAUGUUAAUUUUAUAAUGACUCAUUCGGCGCCUUACGGGAAACCAAAGUGU
rnacentral:rRNA from 1 species